AACGUAGGGGGCGAGCGUUAUCCGGAUUUACUGGGCGUAAAGCGGGUGCAGGCGGCUGACCAAGUGGUGUAUGAAAUAUCCAGGCUCAACCUGGAGGGGUUAUGCCAGACUGGUCAGCUAGAGUGCGAGAGAGGGGCGUGGAAUUCCGGGUGUAGUGGUGAAAUGCGUAGAGAUCCGGAGGAACCCCAGAGGCGAAGGCGGCGCCCUGGCUCGACACUGACGCUCAGACCCGACAGCAUGGGGAGCGAACGGG
rnacentral:rRNA from 1 species